CUACAACAAAAUAUCAAAUCAUCCCAAACUCCAAAAUUAUUUUCAAAAUAUCCAGCCAAACAAAUCAAAAAAAUUUCCAAACUCUCUCUCCAAAUUUUUUUUUUUUGAAAAUUUAUCUCAAAAAUGUUGACCUUGGUAUGAUUUCUUUAUAUUGGUGCUAAUUGUUGUGGAGUCUUUUUGCACAGUAUCAAUAAAUUAAUUGGUCUCACUCUGCUCUCUCAUUAUGUAGCCAAUGCAACCAACAGUUCUAUAGUUUCUAUAUUCCUGUCUUCCUCAGUGUGUUGUCCAAUUACUCUGACCUUUGCCAAUCAUAUACUUGUUGUCAGGGAAUGGAAAAGUGGGUCAUGUAAAUCAAGCAAAUAACAUGUAUCUGUUUCCUGGGAUUGGAAUGGGAAGCUCUUCUCUCAGGUGCUCGUUUGAUUUUAGAUGGAAUGUAGCAAGCAGCUUCUGAAUGCCUUGCUUCAUUUAUUACAAACGAAGAAAUUCAAAGUGGUAUUUUUGUAUCCUCCUACGAGAAGGAGGUGACGGUGGAAUAUGUCAAACCCAACAUGUGGUUUCCAGUUUACAGCCCCCUCUUAUUCAUGAGAAAUGAAGUUCCGAUCAUCUCUCUCUCUCUCUCUCUGUGCGCAGGCACGCGAUAUUUUUCUGCAGACACUAUCCCAAUGUUUUGCGGCCAUUCAAAUAUUCAUGAUGUAACUGUGGUUUUAAAGCCUAGAGUAGUAAUAUGGGUGAAAAAACAGAACUGGGGAGAGAAGGGUGUAGAAGUUGAAAAAUAAUGCCACUGCAGUUUUGAUUAAGCCCUUUUGUAUAAAUCUGCUUAUUGAUGUAAUGAACAACAUUGUGUAAACUCUCUCUUUUUCAGUUUUUUCAAAAACUUAUUGAUGUUUCAUGUAUGCCUCUUUUUUUUUAGUUAAUUUGGUAUUUCAACCUAUAUACAUUUUGUGAUGAUUCAGAAAAAGAAUAGAAAAGAGAGACUGAACUAUUAAUCA